ACUAGGAUUAGAUACCCUAUUAUUAAAAUUUAAAUUGAAAAUACUAAAAUAGUAGAUAAUUAUUUAUUGAAACUUAAAUAAUUUGGCGGUAUUUUAGUUCAUUUAGAGGAAUCUGUUUAAUAAUUGAUAAUCCACGAAUAAAUUUACUUAAUUUUUUAUUUUGUAUAUCGUUGUUAAAAAAAUAUUUUUUAAUAAUAAUAAUAUUUAAAAAUUUUGAUUAAAAAUUAAAUCAGAUCAAGA
rnacentral:rRNA from 1 species